GAGGGUAUAGCUCAAGUGGUAGAGCGCUUGCCUAGCAUGCAUAAGGUCUUGGGUUCAAUCCCCAGUACCUCCU
rnacentral:tRNA from 1 species